CAUUUAGUGAACAUUCGGUGAACAUCUGAUUAAAUUAUUCCUGGAAUGUUACCAUAAGACAUUCUGUGAACAUACUACCAAUGUUCCUAUAUGUUCAUUUUCAAAUUCACGGCGCAUGUAUUUGUGCAUGGUGCUUAGAGAGGGCAUCACGUGACUAAAAACGACCAAUGACCUCACUUCGGACUUCGGGGCUUCGGCCAUAUUGGCAUUAUUAGCAUGCAUCUUGGCCUUGGCCACCUUGCCGUGCGUGGUGCGUGAUCGUUGUUUGUUUUUAUUUGUGCUUUUUAAGAAUAUUUUUUUAAUUCGGAUACUUUUAUAAUAACUUUAAUAGUAUUAUUAACAUAGUGCAUAAAAUCAGUUGGAGUAGCAGAAGCAAUGUAGAUAAAAAAUCUGCAGGAAUAACGUUUCAAAGCUUUCCAGAAGAUCCUGCGAAGAAGGCAUGAAGUAUUGAUCAGAUUUGUUAAUAGAGCAGUAUGUUCAAAACAUUUUUUAGAAAAAGAUAUUGACAGAACUUCACUUUGAACUGUUCGUUUCAGAGACUGUGCUGUUCCAAUAGCUUAUAUCACACAGAAUCAGCUGAGAGAAGUGGUCUACAAAAAAACCAGGAAGGAAAUGGAAUAUGUGGCUAUGAAAGGCAAAAGAAAGGUUUACAAAGCAAAUGUGACACAUUUUUUAUAGGAAUAUCAGUAAAUUACAUUAAAAAAUGUAUGAAAAGAUUUUUUGCAAUAAAAAUGUUUAUAUUUAUCAAGGAUGUAUUAUUUGGUAUGGCCACAUAUCGUCAGUGAUGUGACAAUACCUCCUAUCUGUUAUUUCAUGAGAUU